GAUGAACGCUGGCGGCGUGCCUAAUACAUGCAAGUCGAGCGAACGGACGAGAAGCUUGCUUAUCUGAUGUUAGCGGCGGACGGGUGAGUAACACGUGGAUAACCUACCUAUAAGACUGGGAUAACUUCGGGAAACCGGAGCUAAUACCGGAUAAUAUUUUGAACCGCAUGGUUCAAAAGUGAAAGACGGUCUUGCUGUCACUUCUAGAUGGAUCCGCGCUGCAUUAGCUAGUUGGUAAGGUAACGGCUUACCAAGGCAACGAUGCAUAGCCGACCUGAGAGGGGGAUCGGCCACACGGGAACUGAGACACGGUCCAGACUCCUACGGUAGGCAGCAGUAGGGAAUCUUCCGCAAUGGGCGAAAGCCUGACGGAGCAACGCCGCGUGAGUGAUGAAGGUCUUCGGAUCGUAAAACUCUGUUAUUAGGGAAGAACAUAUGUGUAAGUAACUGUGCACAGCUUGACGGUACCUAAUCAGAAAGCCACGGCUAACUACGUG
rnacentral:rRNA from 1 species